rnacentral:rRNA from 1 species
UGGGGAAUAUUGCACAAUGGGCGCAAGCCUGAUGCAGCCAUGCCGCGUGUAUGAAGAAGGCCUUCGGGUUGUAAAGUACUUUCAGCGGGGAGGAAGGCGAUAAGGUUAAUAACCUUGUCGAUUGACGUUACCCGCAGAAGAAGCACCGGCUAACUCCGUGCCAGCAGCCGCGGUAAUACGGAGGGUGCAAGCGUUAAUCGGAAUUACUGGGCGUAAAGCGCACGCAGGCGGUCUGUCAAGUCGGAUGUGAAAUCCCCGGGCUCAACCUGGGAACUGCAUUCGAAACUGGCAGGCUAGAGUCUUGUAGAGGGGGGUAGAAUUCCAGGUGUAGAGGUGAAAUGCGUAGAGAUCUGGAGGAAUACCGGUGGCGAAGGCGGCCCCCUGGACAAAGACUGACGCUCAGGUGCGAAAGCGUGGGGAGCAAACA